rnacentral:rRNA from 1 species
AGUGAACGCUGGCGGUAGGCUUAACACAUGCAAGUCGAACGGCAGCACAGUAAGAGCUUGCUCUUACGGGUGGCGAGUGGCGGACGGGUGAGGAAUACAUCGGAAUCUACUUUUUCGUGGGGGAUAACGUAGGGAAACUUACGCUAAUACCGCAUACGACCUACGGGUGAAAGCAGGGGAUCUUCGGACCUUGUGCGACUGAAUGAGCCGAUGUCGGAUUGGCUAGUUGGCGGGGUAAAGGCCCACCAAGGCGACGAUCUGUAGCUGGUCUGGGAGGAUGUGCACCGCCACAGGAGGUGAGAGACGAUCCAGAGACCGACAGGAGGCAGCAGUGGGGAAUAUAGGGCACAGGGCGCAAGCGUGAUCCAGCCAUACCGCGUGGGUGAAGAAGGCCUGCGGGUGGUAUAACCCUUUUGUUGGGGAAAAAAAGGAGCGCGUUAAUACCCCGCUGUUCGAAGGGAACCGGAAGAGAAGGCACCGGCAAACACGGU